GGCACAUUGGCACAGUGGUUUGCACUGCUGCCUCGCAAUAAGGAGGUUCUGAGUUCGAGUCCCAGCUGGCCA